AACGCAUUGUGGUUGAAAUGAUAUGAAGAACUUGUUCAGAUUUGAUUUUCAACAUUGCAAUGAGUGGCGAACGGGUGAGUAACACGUGGGAAACCUACCUCUUAGCAGGGGAUAACAUUUGGAAACAAAUGCUAAUACCGUAUAAUAAUUAAAACCGCAUGGUUUUAGUUUAAAGAUGGUCUUGCUAUCACUAAGAGAUGGUCCCGCGGUGUAUUAGUUAGUUGGUGAGGUAAUGGCUCACCAAGACAAUGAUACAUAGCCGAGUUGAGAGACUGACCGGCCACAAUGGGACUGAGACACGGCCCAUACUCCUACGGGAGGCAGCAGUAGGGAAUCUUCCACAAUGGACGAAAGUCUGAUGGAGCAACGCCGCGUGUGUGAUGAAGGGUUUCGGCUCGUAAAACACUGUUGUAAGAGAAGAAUGACAUUGAGAGUAACUGUUCAAUGUGUGACGGUAUCUUACCAGAAAGGAACGGCUAAAUACGUG
rnacentral:rRNA from 1 species